GGACAACUUGUCUCACCGUGAAUGCAUUGCUCUGUAGGUGUUCACCAUGACCGAACAGAAUGUCGGCAAACCAUCUCCUACUGUAAAUUAUAGACCUUGAAUUGCUGUGGUAUGCAUUCAUCAUCAAGAGUACGGCCAAGGAGUUCUUCCUUUAAAGAUGACUUUUUGAAUCAGCGCUAAGAGCAUUUCUUUAGGAGCAGAGCAGAGAGGCAUCAUAGCAUGGAACAAUGAUUUACCAAUUUGCAGAAUUCACACAAAAGAAUUCUAUAAACCUGAAGAGUAAGCUUUAAAAAAAAUCGUCAGAGGAAAGGAAUUUGUAGAAAUAAAACUGGAAACAUCGAGAAUCUUGAUGGUGUGCCAAACCAGAUGUCAACUGGAGCUCGACCAAAACCUAAACAGCCUUUUCUUUGGCUUUCACGACAAACGUAAUUGUGAGGAAAUCUAUUCUCUUCUGUUUCUCCACAUUCCUCACCAGGUGCUCUCUGGCAAACGAAGUAAAGAGAGAGCAGAUUCCAUAUAG
rnacentral:lncRNA from 1 species